rnacentral:rRNA from 1 species
GACGAACGCUGGCGGCGCGCUUAACACAUGCAAGUCGAACGGAAAGGCCUGCUUUCCCUUGUGGAUUGCGGGUACUCGAGUGGCGAACGGGUGAGUAACACGUGAGUGAUCUGCCCCCAACUUGGGUAUAAGCCUGGGAAACUGGGUCUAAUUCCCGAUAGGACUGCAGGGUGGUGCCUGUGGUGGAAAACGAUUUUCUAGUGGUUGGUGAUGAGCUCGCGGCCUAUCAGCUUGUUGGUGGGGUAAUGGCCUACCAAGGCGGCGACGGGUAGCCGGCCUGAGAGGGUGGACGGUGGCAUUGGGACUGGGACAAGGCCCAGACUCCUACGGGAGGCAGCAGUGGGGAAUAUUGCACAAUGGGCGGAAGCCUGAUGCAGCGGGGCCGCGUGGAGGAUGACGGCAUUCGGGUUGUAAGCUCCUUUCGACCGCGAGGAAGCCACCUGGUUGGAAGGGUGGUGACGGUAGUGGUAGAAGAAGCACCGGCUAACUACGUG